rnacentral:lncRNA from 1 species
CAUCCUCUUCUUCUUCGAACAACAGUUGUUCAUCCAUGUUUUGGAUUGGUUUGGACGUUUUUAGGCUUGUUCCAACCUCCAUGCCACUUUCCAAAGUGAUGGCAUCAUGGAUUUCAAAAUUUUCCUUCAAAUUUUCUAUAGUUGAGUUGGAAAGUUCACUUUGCUCUUGAAUUUGUGCCAUGAACUCCAUAAUCUCUCCCAUUUGAUUCUUCAAGUUGUCCACUCUUUUGUCUUGAUCUUGUUGGUCCUGCGCCAAAGAGGUUAGUAAUUGAAAAAUUUGAUCAUUAUUCAUGGACAUACUUGAACUUGACUGGAAUUGUUGUGGGGGAGGUUGUGGUGGUUGCAUAGGCGCGGUGUAGAACUCCUCAUAUGGCUGCCAAUAUGCAUCUUGUUGAGCCUCCUUGGCUUGAUUUUGUGAGCCCUGCACCAAAGAAUUUAAUUCAUUAAGAAUUUGAUUAUAAUCUAUUGACGAACCGGAGUUUGAUUGAGCAUAUUGCAUAGGUCUUGAAUAGAACUCCUCGUAUGGCUGCCAAUAUCCUUCGUGUUGAGCUCGUUGAGAUUCCCACCACAUAGAAGUUGAAUGAUCACUCCAAUCUCUUUGUGGACAUUGAUUGGCUUGAUAUCCUUGCCUAUAAGACGCACCAAAUGUAGGGACACUUUGCAUUGUGGUCCUUUCGGCAAUCUGUGACAAUUGAGAAGUAAGAUUUGCUAAUUGAGCUUGAAUGCUAGCAAAAUCCAUGUCUUACUUCUCUAGUACCUAAAGUCAAAGAAAGAGAACUAAAUCAAAUAUCAAAAGUAACACAAAACAAGGAAAACAAAACUAAGUCAGAAACUAAAACAGAAACAAACUAAACAAAAAGAAAAGAACCAAGGGAUUAGCAAAGUUGCUAAUCCCCGGAAACGGCGCCAAAAUUUGAUGCGAAAAAUUAUGUUGACACACAAAUUAAACCCUCUUUUUGACAAUUGUAGUAUGGAUAAGUAGGGAUCGUUCUAAACCGGGGAUUAGGAGGGAUUGCUAAACGCUUGAAAACUGACUUAAAAACAUAAAAACAAAGUUUAAAACACUAAACUAGUCUAAAAGAAUGCAAAACUAAACUCUAAAACACUAAAACAAAUCAAAAGACUCAAAACAGCACCAAAAACACUCAAAACUGCCUUAAAACACUUUCUGGGCAGUUUUGAGACUCUAAUGCAAACUUGAACGAAUUUUGGUUUCCUAAUGACCUAAAACACUUAAAAACAUAAUCUAAGACAAGUUCUAACUAAUAUGACUCAAAGAAAUAAAGUGGGGUUGAUUUUGGACGAAUUUAAAUUAAAUGGCAGAUUGUAAAGAAAACAGAUUGUAAGACAAAAUUGUGAUGAAUCAAUGGAUGAUGGAAUAGCUAAGGGGUUUCUUCUCCACACAUGAAAUAUAUGCAACGUAAAUCAAUUUCCAGUUAUCAAUUCAAUAAGUUAUGAACCUCGACACUCCAAGUUAAUUAAGUCCGCUUAAAUUAACCUUUCAGAUUUCCCUAGAAUCAUUGAAUUGGAUGAAUAUGCAUCGCAAACAAAUUAUUCCCAACAAGUUCUCUAUAUGAACAGCAUGAUAAAGAUACAAGUUAGAAUCACUACGUUCUUUGGAAAUCAUAAGCAUCGACAAGGCAUUCGUAACUAUGAAAAGCAUGAUACUCUUGNAUGGUUUAAAUUUGAGAGUGGGUGCCUGAAUCAUUAACAACAUGUAAGUAUAAAAUGUAAUGGAAAUUGGAGUAGAUGACUUACUUUUUCUCUUCGUAAAGAACUCAAGGACGAACACCACUUCUUUUAAAGUUUCAGGGACUUUGAAUUUGGCCAGAUUUACUACGAUGGUUGUGAUUUGUCCCGUGUCAUCAAACUCAAAGUCUUUGGGCUUUGUUGUUUCAAAUAUGUCCUCUUUGAUGAAUUCUUGAUAUUCUCCAGCCACUACUUUCUCUUGAAUCAUUCUUCUUGGUGUACAAAGUCCUUUGAACAAUUCUACACAAUCUAAAACUUGCUUUGUUGCACCAAGAAUUGGAAUAUCAUUUUGCACCUUAGGAAGAGCUUCCACAAUGUCUUUUUCACUCUCUUCUUGCUUGGGAAUAAAAACAUCUGCGAGGAAAAGGGACAUUGGGUGGAACAGGGUUAGAAUUAACGAAAAUUGGACCCAACUUACUUGUAUUGGACAGUGGUAGAGCAUGGGGAGGUUGUGGCGAGGGUAGUGGAGCAAGGGUAGGCUGCAGCAAGGGUGGUUCUUCCCUUGCCGUGGCCUUGUCAUCCUCUUCUUCUUCGAACAACAGUUGUUCAUCCAUGUUUUGGAUUGGUUUGGACGUUUUUAGGCUUGUUCCAACCUCCAUGCCACUUUCCAAAGUGAUGGCAUCAUGGAUUUCAAAAUUUUCCUUCAAAUUUUCUAUAGUUGAGUUGGAAAGUUCACUUUGCUCUUGAAUUUGUGCCAUGAACUCCAUAAUCUCUCCCAUUUGAUUCUUCAAGUUGUCCACUCUUUUGUCUUGAUCUUGUUGGUCCUGCGCCAAAGAGGUUAGUAAUUGAAAAAAUUUGAUCAUUAUUCAUGGACAUACUUGAACUUGACUGGAAUUGUUGUGGGGGAGGUUGUGGUGGUUGCAUAGGCGCGGUGUAGAACUCCUCAUAUGGCUGCCAAUAUGCAUCUUGUUGAGCCUCCUUGGCUUGAUUUUGUGAGCCCUGCACCAAAGAAUUUAAUUCAUUAAGAAUUUGAUUAUAAUCUAUUGACGAACCGGAGUUUGAUUGAGCAUAUUGCAUAGGUCUUGAAUAGAACUCCUCGUAUGGCUGCCAAUAUCCUUCGUGUUGAGCUCGUUGAGAUUCCCACCACAUAGAAGUUGAAUGAUCACUCCAAUCUCUUUGUGGACAUUGAUUGGCUUGAUAUCCUUGCCUAUAAGACGCACCAAAUGUAGGGACACUUUGCAUUGUGGUCCUUUCGGCAAUCUGUGACAAUUGAGAAGUAAGAUUUGCUAAUUGAGCUUGAAUGCUAGCAAAAUCCAUGUCUUACUUCUCUAGUACCUAAAGUCAAAGAAAGAGAA